rnacentral:rRNA from 1 species
UGGGGAAUAUUGGACAAUGGGGGGAACCCUGAUCCAGCCAUGCCGCGUGUGUGAAGAAGGCCUUAUGGUUGUAAAGCACUUUAAGCGAGGAGGAGGCUCUCUUGGUUAAUACCCAAGAAGAGUGGACGUUACUCGCAGAAUAAGCACCGGCUAACUCUGUGCCAGCAGCCGCGGUAAUACAGAGGGUGCGAGCGUUAAUCGGAUUUACUGGGCGUAAAGCAUGCGUAGGCGGCUUUUUAAGUCGGAUGUGAAAUCCCCGAGCUUAACUUGGGAAGUGCAUUCGAUACUGGGAAGCUAGAGUAUGUGAGAGGAUGGUAGAAUUCCAGUUGUAGCGGUGAAAUGCGUAGAGAUCUGGAGGAAUACCGAUGGCGAAGGCAGCCAUCUGGCCUAAUACUAACGCUGAGGUACGAAAGCAUGGGGAGCAAACAGG